UGGAGACGCUCCCCGCGGGCCUCGAGUCCUGCCUCCCGCACUGCGGUCCUGGGGAACCUGGAAAAGGCGCUUUCCCUCCUACGGAUGUCUUUCUUUUGUACACAGUUGGCGUUCUGUUUUGCUCGGAGCAUUUUUGGUAGCACCCCGAGGUUGGGUAACACCCAGGGCUUGGCCAACCCCAUCGUGCUCUUUUCUCCGCUUGUAACAUGUGUGACCACAAAGCCACCGCAGGCAUCACGUGGGUCGCUCAGCGGCUCGGACGCAGACACGCCUCUGGCUUCCCCUGGAGGGCGGGGCUUCGCCUUUACCCUUUCCUGCCGGUCACUGGCCGUCAGGACGAAAGGACUGGAGGAAAGAAGGAACUGCCCACUUCCUUUAAGAAGCUGUGAAGCAAAUGGCUCUUCCACCUUUAAAGUUUUCAGAAGGACUUUAUGCCCACUGUGGAUUGCCUGAAAAAUCCCAUGGACGGGGAAGCCUGGUGGGCUGCAGUCCGUGGGGUCGCUAAGAGUGGGACACGACUGAGAGACUUCACUUUCACUUUUCACUUUCAUUCAUUGGAGGAGGAAAUGGCAGCCCACUCCAGUGUUCUUGCCUGGAGAGUCCCAGGGACAGCGGGGCCUGGUGGGCUGCCGUCUAUGGGGUCGCACAGAGUCGGACACGACUGAAGCGACUUAACAGCAGCAGCAGCAGUGGAAAAACCAAAUACCACAAUACAGUUACAUCUCACGAUUUGUUAAUAUUUUGUUAAGUUUUUCCCUAAACAUCUGCUGCUAAGUCACUUCAGUCGUGUCCAAAACAUCUGCAGCCUUGGAAUAAUGUGAGUUUGGAUGGAGGGUGACGAGGAAUGGGCUGGUAUCCACUUUCCAGGCACCACCUUCGCGUUAGGACUCGGGGACCACAUGGACCCUACAGCUGACGCAGUUUGGAACUCUGGCCCCUACUCACAACAGGAAGGUUCAAAUGAGAUGAUAAAUUGUGGGAAGUUAGGAGGUUACUAAUCUGUCAUAAUACGGUUUAAAUGAGGUUUUAAGAUGCUGAGUCGAGGAGUCUUAGCUUCUGGAGGCGACUAUGGAGAGCCUCUGGUUUCCAGUCCCUGCAGGGGCCAAAAGUGCAGCUUGCAGGAUCUUAGCUGCCUGACCAGGGAUUGAAUCUGGGCCCUCAAUGAAAGCACAGAAUCCUAAUCACUGGACCACCAGGGAGUUCCCUAGGCAUGCAGUGUGUUUUGUGGGGUUUUUUUAAUAGUUGAUUUAAUUGAUUUAUUUAUUUGGCUGCACAUGUCUCAGUCGCAGCAUGUGGGGUCUCUCAGUUCCCAGACCAGGGACCAAACCCAGGGCCCCCACACUGGGAGCUCGGCAUGUUAGCCACUGGACCACCAGGGAAUGCCCUAGGCGUGCAUUCUCACAAGAGGGAUCUGUAAAGCCAGGUAGUCUUUAAUGAGUGGAAGAAACCUGUGGGGGUGUACACUGGAGACUCGGGGGCACGUCUUCUCCCACAUCCCCGAAUUCUACCAGUUCCAACAACCCAGGCCGAGAGACCUGGGUCUCUAACAUGGCUCUCCUGCAUUAAAGAUGGUGCCUCUGGAAUUCCCAUCUGAGAUGCUGACAGAUGGACUCAGAAGUCCUGCUGAUACAGUGAAUGCUUAUCAACUGAUUGAGUGACAUCUUAAACAGGCAGUAUCUCUCUAAAAGGGAAUCAUAUGACGUCACUGCCUCAGGGAGGCCUGUCUGUCGGUCACCUGUCCCCGUGUCUUCGGUGUUUUCGUGAGAAGAAGUUCUAAUGGCU
ensembl:lncRNA